GUGUUUUCCACUAACUUGUUGCAAAAUUGGAAACAGAGAUUUAUUACUACAAUUCUCUCCAAGACUGGAAGGUAAUAUUUCGUAGAAGAAAGAGAAGCGCGAAACAGACAAUGGCGGCAACCGAUCCACAAAGGCAACUCCUAACCCUAAUUCGCGACUUUGCUUCCGAGAAAUCACAAGGAGAGAGAAGAGUGGUUGGGCUAAAGAACCGAAUAGUAGAGCUUGGAUGUCAAUUGGAUGCGGCAAAUGCAGAGAUGGAAGAGGUGAAGCGUUUCAAAGAAACCACUGAGCUAGAGCUUAAAGGCUACGAAUUUCAAUUGGCUUUCAACGACGUAUCUAUUCAGACCCUAGAGGCAAGGAUUUCUCUGAUUCAAGAUGAAAUAUCUUCGGUUGGAUCUGAAGUAGAGGGUCUUAAGGAUGAAGAACGGGCUUCACGAGAUGAGUUUAUUCGCCAGAUGUUUGAGCUCAAUACUAAGAUAAGGAAAUUCCAAGCGGAAAAAGGACUCGAAUCUCAGAAAAAGAGCAGCAUUGGAACUACAGCAGCAGACUGCAAAGCUGAAAAGAAGGUAGUCACUGGUGUUGAUCUAAGAGCUCUUAAGGAUGUGCUUGCACAUGUAGCUUCUCAAAUAAUUAAAGAGGAACAAGAAUACCUAGCAGAGGAGAAUAUUCAAAAGCAGGUCCAGGAGGAUUAUGUUGACCUUCAGAGGAAGGUUUCUCUGGUGGAUGUGAUAGUGAAAGAAACCGAACUAUUGCAGGAUUUAACAAGGCAGACUUCUGAGUUGGAACAGAAUUGUGCUUCCCUUGGUGAGCAGUUGCAGAAUAGAUGCAUAUGUCCCAUUUGUCGUGCAGAUAAUGUUGAGGCCCUGGGUGGCGUUCUUCAGGCAAACAAGGCAAAUUGAUUAUGCCUAGAAGAAAGUCUAUUGCACGUCGCGAGGAGAGGAUCACUACUUGUUCUUCUAGCAGCGAUGUUGACGAUCACGAGUUAUUAGGUGCUGACCAAAAACAUGCACCUGAGGCACAGACAUUGACUCACGAUGCGGGCUUGUCGAGUUCGAUGUCUCAAAGUCAAGGGGGGUCCCUUCAUAGCAGGAUCUAUUUACUCGCAAGUACAAGGCCUAGUGGAAGGACGACUUUUCAAUGUCUACAAACAUUGAGGCUGCUAAAACAAUAACAUCGGCCUAUAAAUCAUCGAUGAAAAUUUCAUUGUUUCAAUAGAGCUAAUUUUCCAAACAUCUUGAAUGGAAACUGCAAGUCGAUACAUGAUUUUCAAGGUUAUGUUGAUAUUAACUUAAAUAUAUUUUUAUGAUAAUCUGGAUCGUUUAUCGAAAUUACUGGAAUUUUUCUUUUAUAAAUUUUUUCUUCAAGUGAAAAUUUGAAUAGGAGAGAGUCGAUCAUAAUAUUGCGAGAAGGGUUUGGGAGAAUCAUGCUGUAAUUAGGUUGCGUGAUUUUUGGUAUGAGGUGCAAAAGAAAGCCAAAAAACAUGUGAAUGAAAGAGAGCUUUCAGGCUAAAAUGACAUAUCGGUGUGGAAGGAUUUCAGACCACCGCAUGUCUUAGAAGCUGUAUGAGCGGAAUACAUUCAACACUUGACAUUCACGUGUUUCACUCGACGACUACAGUCUAGUACAGAUAACCAGAACUGGCAUGUUCACGAUUCCAUUACCAUACACACUGACAGCUCCUUCAACCGGCUACGGUUCUUGGAAGCGUGGAAGCGAGCCAAGGCCGAUGGGGUUCUUUGUUGAAACACAUGUGUGAAGUGAUGACCGUCAAAAAGGGGUGCAUCAGUUCGUUGAUAGCCGAGCUUAACACUUUAUGAUAUGUUGGUUUCAAUCAUAUUUUUUCUUAAGUUAUUAUUUUCUUGAAUUUGAUGAAUUUAUUUUUUCUUUUCGAGAUACAUAUAACAGCCGAUUGAAGGAGAGAUACGAGGACAAUCUUUCGACCCAUUCAUCCGGAUUUGUGGUUAGAAGCAGGAUUGUUCGGUGGGCCCGAUAGGAAUUGAUGUAUGAACUUUGUAAUACUAUGACUGAGAACUUGUGGACGGCUCGUAAUGCUUCGAUAGUUGAAUACUCGCAAUCAAUUUCGAGUGUUCAAACUUCGAAGUUUGCGGCGAUGUUAGACCAACUUGUACAAGAUAUGAGAUGACCAAUCUUAAUGAUAAAAUAUGAAGGACUCAUUGCUGAUUAUGAAGAACUCUGUCGAUUGGUAAUGGAGAUGAGAUCACGGAUAUGUGGUUCAUGUGCACCCUCUAAUUGGCCUCACGGUCUCGAUGACGAUCAGCCCCAUCCUCCUCCUCUAGCGUCGCCUCUAUUUUAGAUUUAUUGUAUUUUAACAUAUAAUUUUUUAAAUUUGUAAUGAAUAUUUUAUUUUUUUACCAAUUUAUUUUAUUUUAAUUAUUUUCUA